AAUUUUGGACAAUGGGCGCAAGCCUGAUCCAGCCAUGCCGCGCGAGUGAAGAAGGCCUUCGGGUUGUAAAGCACUUUCGGACGGUACGAAAUCGAGCAGGCUAAUACCCUGCGCGGAUGCCGGUACCGUAAUAAGAAGCACCGCCUAACUACGUGCAGCAGCCGCGGUAAUACGGAGGGUGCGAGCGUUAAUCGGAAUCACUGGGCGUAAAGCGUGCGGAGGCGGUUGAUUAAGACAAGCGUGAAAUCCCCGGGCUUAACCUGGGAACUGCGCUUGUGACUGGUCAGCUAGAGUACGGCAGAGGGGGGUGGAAUUCCACGUGUAGCAGUGAAAUGCGUAGAGAUGUGGAGGAACACAGAUGGCGAAGGCAGCCCCCUGGGCCGAUACUGACGCUCAUGCACGAAAGCGUGGGUAGCAAACAGG
rnacentral:rRNA from 1 species